rnacentral:piRNA from 1 species
AUUCGUCAGGCAAGUCUGUGCAAGC